GUCUGAGUUACUAAUGACUACUCUACGUUGACAUCGGUGUUGAAAUAGAAAUGAUAACGAGGCGCAUACCAUCGACAGGCAGAGGGACAGUGAGUGCGAAUUCCUGAGGUGGUGCUGUUCUGUUCGAAUCACGGAGCACAAACACCUAAUGCUAGGAGGGCGUCUGGAUCUACCGCAUCCCCUGCGCUUAGUUACUAGGUUGGGUGAGUGAGGGGUGUCAAGGGGCAGGUCAUCCAGAUGGACACUAGAAUUCUGGUCUCCCGGCCCCCACGGCAGCACACACUUCCUCUAUUAUUCCAGAAUCAACCGAAGCCAUCGGAGGUAUUUUCUCAGAUCUCCUGCUCAAUUUCCUCUCCCGAGUGAGGUGUGGUAAAAAGGAUACAGACCCAGAGGGAGUUGGAUUUACACACCUCACUGGAUUCCUACUGGGUGUGGCAAGUUGGACGGGUCAGUCGUCUUUGACACGCUGGUUUUUCCAGAAGUACUACUCUUAGUAAUGGCCAUCCCCAUUUUUGGUGGUGGGUUGGUAUAUACUCCCUGACCCAUUCUCCAUCCACUGUUUUUGAAUCUUUGCCAGUUUCAGUUUGUAGGAUGCGACUACCUCAGCAGGUCACCUCCAAAGUCUAGGGAAGACAGAUAGAAUUGUUUUGCAAUUUACCUGCUGUAGAAAAUAAAAUGCUUUUUUAACCUCAA